UGAUCUUUGAAGAUGCAAGUGCGCAACCGAGUCAUAGAAGUUUUCGGAUAUUGGAGCAAACCAAAGCAAAUCUAGCACCGCUCUGUAGUCACUUCCCCACGAGUUCGUCGGUGCAUCAAUAGGUAACAAUGAACUUAAGAUCCAGCUCGCUGAUCUGCCACAGGGUGCAUGUGGUCUUGUUCUCGAAUGUCUGGCCGGAGGCACAACAUAUCAAAUCAAGCACAUAGCAAAUAAGCUUGCUUACAAAGUCGUGGUACAGCUUGCGUUGGAGAUUUUGCCAGACGAUUGAGCUAUCUACACUCGAAAAUGAUCAUGUACCAUGGUGUCGAAAAUGCCUGAUAAUAUGUUGUUUGAUACCGAAGGAAACCUUAAAAUUUAUGAUUUUUGUGUCCCUCGUGUCGAGGCUGAAAAUCCAAAAGAGAUGAUAGGCGCGACGGGACACCCGGUGUGAAUUUCUUUGAGAAUCACGGAGUGUGAAAUGUUUUUCCCUGAGAAUACAGAUCCUGGAUUUAUUUUGUUUAUUUUUGAGUAAAUUGUUUUUUA